GCUUCGAUAGCUCUGUGGCAGAGCGUUGGGGCGUAGACCUAUGCGGCCCGGGUUCGUGCCCCGGUCGAUGCA